GCAGAAUAAAUUAUUCUUCACCCGAGGUAAUCUUACGAUCAUUUCAUAAUUAAAUUACGUUUGGAAUUCAAAUAGUUAAUUCUUAUUGAUUCACUACGUAAAAUUUGGCAUAAAAAAAAUAAAAAUAUAGGGUAUAAGACAAGAAAAUUUGCAGUUUAUGUGUAUUUUACACUAUGUUUUUAUGUUUGUUAUUUUACAUAACAUAAAAUAUUUUUUACGAUGAUUAUAUAUUUUCUUACGGUCUUUUUUUACGUCAGAAAUAAGAUAAAACUUACGAAACGUAAAAUUACGAUGCAUUGAUGGUAGAAUAGAGGGGGGGUGAAGAAUAACUAUUCCUCAUCCAGGGUGACGAAUAGUCAAUCUAGGCUGGGCCUACCCCCAUCCCUAGAGGAGCCGUAUGAGGCGGAAGCUCCACGUUAUAUAUAUACACACACACACACACACGCACAUAAACACUAUUCGGAUUACGGGAUUAGAAUAUUAUUCUGACCACAACAUGAACUUCCUGAGUUAUAUGCCUGAACUUCCCUUUGUAGAAACUGGACCUUCGGGCUAUCUUUGCAACCGUGUCUUCCCGCGCGAAUUAUUCUGGAAUCUUGCUCGUUGGCGGAUUUUGCUCUCGGGUCGUGAUGAACUUGCAUUUUUUGCAAUUUUACUGCCUGAGUUGUUCGACCUGAACUUCCCUCUGUGCUAGGUUGACCUUCCAUCAACAUUGCCCAAAUGGGGCUUGUGAUAUACCGUUUGAAAGCUAUGGACACGAGUGUCAUGAUUCAAAUUAAAUUUUUGACAAAAUGUAAGCCGUUUAAGAGUAGUUUUGAAAUCCGUUUUUUCUUCAUACAAAAAAAGGUGAAUCGUAUUUUCGAUUGCAUUUCUAAACUGUUUAUCAGAAUGAGGCAAAUAAUAUGGCGUUGGAUAGAUGCUGCAAAACCAGUCCUUCCACAUGUUGAUAGUUUUCUCUAAUUCCCUAUGGUUAAAAAGUAAUUUGAAAAAUCGUAAAAUUUCACAAAUCAAACAACCG
rnacentral:rRNA from 1 species